CGCGGCCUAUCAGCUUGUUGGUGGGGUAACGGCCCACCAAGGCAACGACGGGUAGCUGGUUUGAGAGAAUGAUCUGUACACUGGAACUGAGACACUGUCCAGACUUCUACGGAAGGCUGCAGUAGGGAAUCUUGCGCAAUGGGCGAAAGCCUGACGCAGCGACGCCGCGUGCGGGAUGACGGCCCUAGUGGUUGUAAACCGCUUUCCGCAGGGAGAAAGAUGACGGUACCUGCAUAAGAAGUCCCGGCUAACUACGUGCCAGAAGCCGCGGUAACUCCGUGGGACAAGCGUUGUCCGGAUUCAUUGUGCGAAAAGAGCUCGUAAGCGGUUCACAUAGUUGGGUGUGAAAGCUCCGGGCUCAAGCCAGAGAGGUCACUCAAUAUUGCUGUGACUACUGUCUUGUAGAGGAGCUGGGAACUCCAGGUGUAGGGAGAAAAUGCCUCCAGAUGAAGAAGAACACCGGCUGCAAAUGCGGAGCUCUGGGCUGGUACUGAGCCUGACUCUGGAACAUUUGUGAAGCUAACGAGAUUAAAUUCCCUGAUAGUACAUGACUAAAUCCUUGGGCACUAGGUGUGGUGAGGAAUCGACCCUCGCCAUGCCGCAGCUUGUGCAUUCCCUGCCCCGCCUGAUGAGUACAGAGUCUCUACA
rnacentral:rRNA from 1 species